GGCUUGGUGGCAGUGUGGCAGCGCUGGUUUAAGGAACUGGGCUUGUGAGGUUGCGGGUUCGAUUCCCGGGUAGGACA
rnacentral:tRNA from 1 species